AAUAGCAUUAAAGACAUGCUAUUAAAAAAAAUUUAAUUGCAUAUUGAAAAGCGCUAUUGUAGCGAAAGAAAAAAUAGCAACGCUAAAAACCGCUAUGUAAUGUCAUUUACUUAUUAUGACGGGCGAUGAUACAACGCUUCAAAAACCGCUAUUAUAUCGUUACAUAGCGUUAUUCGUCCGCUAUAAAAACGCAUUUUUCUUGUAGUGCGAAGGCUUAUCAUCACCUCCGGCAAGGAAGUAGAUUCUUGAAUCCCACGUCUUCUUACUUAGAAACUCACCCCCUCCUCCUUCCCCCCAAAUCCCAUUCUUCUUCUCAUC
rnacentral:lncRNA from 1 species